UAGAACAGCACAUGCGGUUUUGCGCUGAACGGAUCGCGCAGCACGCGCAGAUCGGGACGCUCGGCAAUGGUGUAACCUGCCUGGAAGUCACCAAAGGCAAUCGAGAAGCUGUCGCUCGCCGCAUCCGGCAUAUCCUCGGCAAUCAGUACCGGAUAACCCAUCAGACGCGCAGGCUCACCGGCAGCCAGUCCAUCCGACCACAGGAAACGGCCAUCGCUGUCCUUCAGCUUGCGGAUCACGCCAGCGGUCUUCGAGUUCAUCACGAAGGUGCCGUUGACGCGGUAUUGCGCGCCCAGCGCAUAGACCACAUCGACAAUCGCAUCCGCGUCGACACCACCGUCAAUCCCAGUCGGCACAUAGCCGAUAUUGCCCCAUGCCCAGACAUCAUUGUCGACCUUGGCGUGGUUCAGAAUGCCGUUGGGCUUGUCCGCCCCAUCGCCAUUGAUAAAAGCCCCCGCCUCGGCCCGGGCAAACUUGUCGGCGAUCCGCCCAGCCAGCCAGCCUUCGACAUCAAACGCGCUGUCAUCCAGCAGGCGCUGCGAGGCUUUAGGCAACGCGCUCAGCUCAUGCAGGGCAAUGGAAAUCCGGUCAAUCGACGGCGUCGCCGUCUCGGUCGCGGCCGAGGUCUCAUCGGCCCAGCCCGCGCCGACAUCGGUGUGGUCGAUCAGUACGUCGAACGAAUUCGCCUCGACAUUCACAACCGACGCAAUCGAGCGGAUCGACGCGGUGGACUUCAGCACCGACUUGAUGAUCUCGGCGGUUUGCGGAUCCACCAGAUAGCCA
rnacentral:rRNA from 1 species